GCCUGGUUGGCCGAGUGGUUAAGGCGCUGUGGGGGCGGGCCAACCCGGGAGCGUGCACCCAUGCGAGUGCCCCCAAGGUUGGCGCGUCUUCCAGAGAACCCUGGUUCGAAUCCAGGACCGAGCA
rnacentral:tRNA from 1 species